rnacentral:ncRNA from 1 species
AUGAAUGCGUUGAAAAGGAUUAGUACAUACAAUUCGUCAUUUCAGAGAGCCGGUGGAUGGUGAGAACCGGUAUGAGGUUGUGUGGAAUCCACCUUGGAGUAGAGCAUCGAAUUGAUAUUUUCUUUGAAGUGCUCUCGGUUUGCAGCCGUUACCUGCUAAAGUGGUAUUGUCAGAUGACAUGCAACAAGGGUGGCAACGCGGGUGCUCUCGUCCCUUCU